UAAAGAAAACCUAGCAGCCAUUGCCUCUCUCACGCAGCAGCUAAGAACCAACCUCUCCAUUUCCCUCUUUCUAUUUCUCUUCAGCUCAACGACAACUUCAUAGUACCAUAAACUCUCUCUCAAUGGCAUGACAGACUCACCCCACCCAUGAUCAGCACAGAUCCACCCAACAGACGCUGCCUCUAAAGACGAAGAACCCCCUGCAGAUGUUGCAUUUGAAGACGAAGCGACCAAAGGAUAUUCAAAUUUGUCAAGGCAUUUGGUUCUCGAACUUGGGAAGGUGAAGCAUCUACAGUAACUACAAUAUAAAUUAAGGGCAAGGCAGCAGCAAGAAGAAGACCAAGACCCACGACAACCAUUGUCGAUUGAUGGAUUCAAGCAUUCUAUUUUGUUUAUUUUUUUUCUAUCACCAUCUACUUAGGUAUAUGGAAGAUUAUCUAUUAAGUAGUAUGGAUGACAAAAAUAACUUUAAUAUUUUGGAUAGUUAAGUACCAUUACAUGGGUUUU